GGAGAGAUGACCGAGUGGCUUAAGGAACACGUCUGGAAAGCGUGUGUACUUUUUAGUACCGAGGGUUCGAAUCCCUCUCUCUCCG
rnacentral:tRNA from 1 species